CGUGUAGGCUGAUAUUUUAGUCGAUUGUGAAAUCCCUGGGCUUAACCUAGGAAUUGCAGUCGAUACUGGAUAUCUUGAGUAUGGUAGAGGAAGGUGGAAUUCUCGGUGUAGUGGUUAAAUACGUAGAUAUCGAGAAGAACAUCGGUGGCGAAGGCGGCCUUCUGGACCAAUACUGACGCUGAGGCGCGAAAGCGUGGGGAGCAAACAGGAUUAGAUACCCUGGUAGUCCACGCUGUAAACGAUGAGAACUAGAUGUUGUGUCGCACUUAAAUCGGGUUUUAGGUCCCUAUUUGAGUGCGAUACAGUAUCGCAGCUAACGCGUUAAGUUCUCCGCCUGGGGAGUACGGUCGCAAGAUUAAA
rnacentral:rRNA from 1 species